rnacentral:rRNA from 1 species
CGGCGAGUGAGCGGCAAAAGCUCAAAUUUGAAAUCUGGCGCCUUCGGUGUCCGAGUUGUAAUUUGAAGAUUGUAACCUUGGGGUUGGCUCUUGUCUAUGUUUCUUGGAACAGGACGUCACAGAGGGUGAGAAUCCCGUGCGAUGAGAUGCCCAAUCCUAUGUAAGGUGCUUUCGAAGAGUCGAGUUGUUUGGGAAUGCAGCUCUAAGUGGGUGGUAAAUUCCAUCUAAAGCUAAAUAUUGGCGAGAGACCGAUAGCGAACAAGUACAGUGAUGGAAAGAUGAAAAGAACUUUGAAAAGAGAGUGAAAAAGUACGUGAAAUUGUUGAAAGGGAAGGGUUUGAGAUCAGACUCGAUAUUUUGUGAGCCUUGCCUUCGUGGCGGGGUGACCCGCAGCUUAUCGGGCCAGCAUCGGUUUGGGCGGUAGGAUAAUGGCGUAGGAAUGUGACUUUACUUCGGUGAAGUGUUAUAGCCUGCGUUGAUGCUGCCUGCCUAGACCGAGGACUGCGAUUUUAUCAAGGAUGCUGGCAUAAUGAUCCCAAACCGCCCGUCUUGA